rnacentral:rRNA from 1 species
AGAGGAGCCUGUCCUAUAAACGAUGCCCCACGUUAAACCUCUCCUUCCCUUGCCCCAUCCAGUCUAUAUACCGCCGUCGUCAGUUCACCUUAUGAGAGCCAUUUAAGUGAGCAAGCCCGUCUAACACAAAAACGUCAGGUCAAGGUGUAGCUAACGAGAAGGUAAGAGAUGGGCUACAUUCUUUACAAAAAAGAUUACAGAAAGCACAAUGAAAUAGUGCCAAAAGGUGGAUUUAGAAGUAGGCUGAACAAGACAAUCCAGCCGAAACCUGCCCUG